AGGAUUUUCUUGGUAGAGAUACUGAAGCUGUUUGCCAUUUUCUUCUCCACCUUAUUUUACAGAUGAGCUGAGGUCCCCGUGCCAACCCAGCCCCGAAGGAGGAUGAGGAAGACGUCCAGGAGUCAGACAAUCCAUCUUUUGGCCCUCAAGCAAACAGCAAAUAAUCUAUCUUAAACAUGUGCAAUUCUUCUACACAUAUUCCCACAUUUAUUAUGCUGCACAAGAAAAAUCAGAUCAAGAAGGAAAAAAAUUAAAAAGAAAAAAAAGCAAACAACAAAAAAGGUGAAAAUACUAGGCUGCGAUCCACAUUCAGUCCCCCCAGUUCAUUUUGGAAGCAGAUGACUCUCUCCAUCAUCAGUCUAUUGGAAUCGGCCUGAAUCACCUCAUUGUUUAAAAGAGACAUGAGAUGAAAUGUAAUAGGGGAAAAUGUAAAAUUUUAUACUUUGGUUCAAAAAUUCACCUUCAAGCUAGAAAAUGGGGCCCAACUGGCCAGAGAGCAGCUUCUCUGAAAUUGACCUAUGGGUUUCAAUGGACUUCAAGCUCAGCGCGAGCCAACAAUAUGAAAUCAUAGCCAAAAAAAAUGGGAAAUUGGGUCGUUUGAGUUUGGGGAGUUAAAAGGAGCUGUGUUCAAACCCCAUCUCUGCUGCUUAUUCCCUACAUAAUUUUGAGGAAGUCACUUCCCUGCCUCAGAUUUCUUAUCCGUAAAAAGACCAGGAUGAUCUUUCCAUGAUGGGAAGAAAAUGAAAUUUUAGAUUGCAUAGCGAGAGGCCCGGCGUCCAGGAGGAUAAGAUGAUGGUCUUCACCAGACAACACUUGACUUAUUUAGUUCAAUUCUGGCCCCCUCAUGUUAGGAAGGACGUGAGUAAACCGUUGAGCAUCCAGAUGAGUCAUGAUUAAAUAACCAAUCGGCAAGCAUUUAUCCAUCACUUAAUACGUGCCAAGCACUGGAUUACAAAAGCACAAACCACAAUAAUCCCUUCAAGGACAUUCUGUCAGAGGAAACGGCCCGUGUGUGUGCAGAUACAAAAUGUAAGGUGUGUGCUACCGUGUAGGUUUGUCUCCUACAGAGGAAAUGAUAGAGAUCCCAGGAAUCUUGUCCAGCUCUCUCCGAGGGCGAUUUUAAUUCCUGCCGGAAAAGGUCGCUAUAAGGUUGGUCACUCUAUUCUCCUCGGGGAGGGGGUAUGGGACUAAAAUUAUAUUUAUCACUCCCCUGUCCCGCCCAACUCCCACCCAGGGACAUGAGCCUUUAAAACCCAACCUGUUUUCUUGCUCUCUAUCCCCUCAAAAGGAAAUAUAAAGGGAUGUAAAAAGGAGUAAGUUUUGGAUAAUCCCAGACUUACAAUUCAUAUACUUGACAUCUUUAUACUAAUAACACAAAGUUACCCCAUACUACUACAUUACUACAAGUAGUAAAGGAGUUAAAAAGUAAAAGCCUUUUUAUCUAAGGGAAUAAUAGCAAGGAGAAAUCAGUGCAAUUCCAUAGAUCUGAAUAUGCCAGAAAAUAUGCAGAGAGAAUGAGUUCUGUCCUCGGGAGAAAUAUCCCGGCUCAAGCAAGAGAAUGGCCCCAAUCUCAUGCAAGGGGAGAUUCCCCAAAGCCCCCAGGAGAGGGACAGCGAGGUGCUGCAGUGGACAGAACAACAGCCCUGAAAUCAGGAGUUUAAGUCCAACCCUAGGCGCUGACUAGGUCAACUAGUGUGACCCUAGACAUGUCACUUAAUCCCAGUUACCAAAAAAAAAAAAAAGGAGGGGGCAAGCUGGAAAGGAAGAACACGUUGAAUAGGCAGCUGACUAGAAAUCUACUUUUCCAAUGCAUCUUUUUUCCAUUUCUCUCCCUAAAGAAAAUCUGAGAACUGAGACCGCUGAAAGGCGCAGUGAAUAGUGACAGAUCUGGAGUCAGGAAGAUUCAAAUACUGCUUCAGACCCUAACUGGGGGAUCUUGGGCAAGUCACUCACAUCUGCCUCUGUUUUCUCAACUGUAAAAUGGAGAUUACAAAAACAAGCUUAUAUUGAAGAUUAGACUGAAUGAUAUUUGUUAUUGUUAUAAAGCACGGUAAAUAGUAGGCAAUCUAUAAAUGCUUAUUCCCUCCCUCCCUCCCUCCCUGGAGGGAGGAAUGAUGAAUGUGCCUUCAAGCUCUCAGAUCGAAGUCUCCUUUGGGCCUCUUCUCCAGCCUUGAAACCUGGGUUACGGGAAAAUACACAUAGUCGCUACAAGUUAAUUUUAGGGGGUCAGCAGGAAGGGCCGGCUAGGAGGGAGUGCUUCAUGGUAUGGGACAGCAUGUGCAAAGGCAAUAAUCAGGAUGAUGAAAGGCCCUGCUGGAAAUAACUCGGACUGUUUAGUCUGGGGAAUAGCAGGUUUAGGGAGGACUUGGUGUCUGAUUGUAUGCAAAUAUUUUAAGAGCUAUCCCUUGGAAGACUUAGCAGACUUUUCCAACUUGGCCCUAGAAGGCACAGCUAGGACCACAGGGUCAGAUUUCAAGCUCCAAAGGGCCCUGUAGUCAAAUACCCUCAUUUCACAGAUGGGGAAACUGAGGCCAAGAGAGAGGAAGUAACUUAGCCAAGGCCACAGAGGAAGGUACCCAAAGGUAGGAUUUGAACUCGGGUCCGCUUCCCUCCCAAUUCCUUAUGCCGUGCUGCCUCCUAGUGGGUAGAAACCGCAUGACCGGAUAAACAAUUGGAGCUGUCCCAACGUAGAAUGAGUUGCCCCAGGAGGUGGGGUGCUCUCCAACCUGGGAUAUCCUGGACGAGUCAUUUCUACCUCAGUCUCCUCAUCUGUAAAACGGGGAUCCUAAUCUACACAGUCGCCACAGCGACCACCCGAAUGCUCUGAACCUUUCUAAGACUGGAGAAUAACGAAGGGAAUGUCUCCCGUUCCCUUUGCUCGUCGCAGUUCCCAUGGUACGGAAGGGAGGUUUUGAGGAAGGCAGGGAGGGAGGGAACCAGGAAAGGCUCCCCGGAGGAAGCGGCCCCCGAGCGGCUCAGAUGAGACUUGGGCUGGACGAGAGGUAGCACGUUAGAAUAUUAAUAAAGCCCUGGGGCCAGGUUCCGUGACUUCUAGACCCAAAAUGUGCCCGCGUUCGGCUCCCUCAACUGCAAAAUGGGCGAUUAUGAGGCUGUCACAAGUACUUCGGGCUUCCGUAAGGUCUGUAGCACUAGGAGUUAUGAUUGUUCAGAGGAGAGAUCCCUCUAGCUGGGGGAGGGGGGCGGCCAUCAGGGCAGGAGAAAGGGUCCCGAGCUGGAGCUUGUUCAGGCCAUUCUGGAGACGGGGACUGGGAACGAGGUACUCUAGGGAGGGGCGAGGGGUCUGGUGUGGCAGAAGCCUAUGUAUGGCGGGGUGUGCCGGGGGAACAGGAAGGGACGAGUGGGACAAGCUUCAAAUGGCAAGCUAGGGCUGGAAGCUCAUCCUGUCCUUCCCAAGCAGCUCCUUGCCAUGCUGCCUUAACUCUGGGGUCCCCCAGCUCUGUUAUGUUUUAACUUUAGCUUGCCAGGUCCUAGCUGUGAAACAUAAUUAAGUCCUUACUAGUUUCUUUCUCUCCCUUUCUUGCUCCCUCCACUUCUCUUUCUUUUCUUCCUUCUCUCCCACUUAUUUCCCUCUCUCUGUCUCUCGGUAGAAAAAAAUGGAAACCUUAAGAUUCUUGAACUGGAGAGUGACAUGGGUGGCUUUGUACAUCAGGAAGAUACUGGGGGGGGGGGGUGGAGAUGAAUUGGAGAUGGAAAUAGCCCCCGUUUCUAUAAAGUCCUAAAGUAAACAAAGCAUUUUCCUCCCAAGUCUUAGAAGACUUAUCAGGUCAAUUUUACACUGGUCCUGAAGCACAUGGCUCAUGUCAGAGUUCAACUCUGAAUCCGGACUUCCUGGGUCCAGGUCCAGCCCCCUUUCCAUAAUCACAUUGCCUCUUCAUGGUUCCACCGAGCUGAGACCUAACUAGAAAUCCUAGUGCCCUGGGCAAGCAGCAUGAAAGACCUUUAACCGACUUCCUAUUUUGAUCGUCCUUCCAUCACCAUCCUCCUCAGCAAAUCAUUCCGGUUAAGAACAGUUCAGCAACGUUAUGGAAUAUUAUUGUUCUGUAAGAAAUGGGACUGGCGACUUACAUGAACUGAUGCUAAGUGAAAUGAGCAGAACCAGGAAAUCAUUAUAAACCUCAACAAUGAUACUGUUUGAGGAUGUAUUCUGAUGGAAGUGGAUCUCUUCGAUAAAGAGAGCUAAUUCAGUUUCAAUUGAUCAAGGAUGGACAGAAGCAGCUACAUCCAAAGAAAGAACACUGGGAAAUUAAUAUAAACUGCUUGCGUUUUGUUUUUCUUCCCGGGUUAUUUCUAACUUCUGAAUCCAAUUCUCCCUGUGCAACAAGGGAACUGUUCGGUUCUGCACACAUAUAUUGUAUCCAGGAUAUACUGUAACCUAUUUAACAUAUAAAGGACUGCUUGCCAUCUGGGGGAGGGGGUGGAGGGAGGGAGGGGAAAAAUCGGAACAGAAGUGAGUGCAAGGGAUAAUGUAAAAAAUUACCCGGGCAUGGGUUCUGUCAAUAAAGAGUUAUUAAAAAAAAAAAAAGUUCAUCAAAGAUAACCAUCAGAGUUUGGCGAGUAAGCAUGCAAUAUUCCACACCCAUUGUCCCCCACUUUUUGCAAAGGAGGGGGCUGUUUUCUAAACUGUUCUUGGGGUUCAUUGGUUCAUUACAUCAAAGGUUUUUGGAAAUCUUGAUUUACUUUAUUGUCACCUUUGUGCACAUGUAAUGUUUAAGUUG